CCUUAGAGUUUGAUCCUGGCUCAGGACGAACGCUGGCGGCGUGCUUAACACAUGCAAGUCGAACGGGGUGUUUAUUUCGGUAAACACCAAGUGGCGAACGGGUGAGUAACGCGUAAGCAAUCUACCUUCAAGAUGGGGACAACACUUCGAAAGGGGUGCUAAUACCGAAUGAAUGUAAGAGUAUCGCAUGAGACACUUACUAAAGGAGGCCUCUGACAUAAGCUUCCGCUUGAAGAUGAGCUUGCGUCUGAUUAGCUAGUUGGUGAGGGUAAAGGCCCACCAAGGCGACGAUCAGUAGCCGGUCUGAGAGGAUGAACGGCCACAUUGGGACUGAGACACGGCCCAGACUCCUACGGGAGGCAGCAGUGGGGAAUCUUCCGCAAUGGGCGAAAGCCUGACGGAGCAACGCCGCGUGAACGAUGAAGGUCUUAGGAUCGUAAAGUUCUGUUGUUAGGGACGAAGGAUAAGGAUUAUAAUACAGUCUUUGUUUGACGGUACCUAACGAGGAAGCCACGGCUAACUACGUGCCAGCAGCCGCGGUAAUACGUAGGCGGCAAGCGUUGUCCGGAAUUAUUGGGCGUAAAGGGAGCGCAGGCGGGAAACUAAGCGGAUCUUAAAAGUGCGGGGCUCAACCCCGUGAUGGGGUCCGAACUGGUUUUCUUGAGUGCAGGAGAGGAAAGCGGAAUUCCCAGUGUAGCGGUGAAAUGCGUAGAUAUUGGGAAGAACACCAGUGGCGAAGGCGGCUUUCUGGACUGUAACUGACGCUGAGGCUCGAAAGCUAGGGUAGCGAACGGGAUUAGAUACCCCGGUAGUCCUAGCCGUAAACGAUGGAUACUAGGUGUGGGAGGUAUCGACCCCUUCCGUGCCGGAGUUAACGCAAUAAGUAUCCCGCCUGGGGAGUACGGCCGCAAGG
rnacentral:rRNA from 1 species